AGAGUUUGAUCCUGGCUCAGAUUGAACGCUGGCGGCAUGCCUUACACAUGCAAGUCGAACGGCAGCACGGGAGCAAUCCUGGUGGCGAGUGGCGAACGGGUGAGUAAAGCAUCGGAACGUGCCCAGUCGUGGGGGAUAACGUAGCGAAAGCUACGCUAAUACCGCAUACGAUCUGUGGAUGAAAGCGGGGGACCGUAAGGCCUCGCGCGAUUGGAGCGGCCGAUGUCAGAUUAGGUAGUUGGUGGGGUAAAGGCUCACCAAGCCGACGAUCUGUAGCUGGUCUGAGAGGACGACCAGCCACACUGGGACUGAGACACGGCCCAGACUCCUACGGGAGGCAGCAGUGGGGAAUUUUGGACAAUGGGCGCAAGCCUGAUCCAGCAAUGCCGCGUGCAGGAUGAAGGCCUUCGGGUUGUAAACUGCUUUUGUACGGAGCGAAAAGGCUUCCACUAAUACUGGGGGCUCAUGACGGUACCGUAAGAAUAAGCACCGGCUAACUACGUGCCAGCAGCCGCGGUAAUACGUAGGGUGCAAGCGUUAAUCGGAAUUACUGGGCGUAAAGCGUGCGCAGGCGGUCUUGUAAGACAGGUGUGAAAUCCCCGGGCUUAACCUGGGAACUGCACUUGUGACUGCAAGGCUGGAGUACGGCAGAGGGGGAUGGAAUUCCGCGUGUAGCAGUGAAAUGCGUAGAUAUGCGGAGGAACACCGAUGGCGAAGGCAAUCCCCUGGGCCUGUACUGACGCUCAUGCACGAAAGCGUGGGGAGCAAACAGGAUUAGAUACCCUGUAGUCCACGCCCUA
rnacentral:rRNA from 1 species